rnacentral:rRNA from 1 species
CCUACGGGCGUCAGCAGUGGGGAAUAUUGCGCAAUGGGCGAAAGCCUGACGCAGCGACGCCGCGUGAGGGAUGAAGGUCUUCGGAUCGUAAACCUCUGUCAGCAGGGAAGAACGGUCACUGUGCUAAUCAGCAGUGAAUUGACGGUACCUGCAAAGGAAGCACCGGCUAACUCCGUGCCAGCAGCCGCGGUAAUACGGAGGGUGCGAGCGUUAAUCGGAAUUACUGGGCGUAAAGAGCCCGUAGGCGGUAUGUCAAGUCAAGGGUGAAAGCCCCGCGCUCAACGUGGGAACUGCCUUUGAAACUGGAAAACUGGAGUGUGAGAGAGGAUAGUGGAAUUCCAGGUGUAGGGGUGAAAUGCGUAGAUAUCUGGAGGAACAUCAGUGGCGAAGGCGACUAUCUGGCACAUAACUGACGCUGAGGAGCGAAAGCGUGGGUAGCAAACAGGAUUAGAUACCCUGGUAGUC